rnacentral:tRNA from 1 species
GUUCCCGUAGCUCAGCUGGAUAGAGCGACGGUUUCCGGAACCGUAGGCCGCGUGUUCAAAUCACGCCGGGAACG